rnacentral:rRNA from 1 species
CCUACGGGUGGCAGCAGUGGGGAAUAUUGCACAAUGGGGGAAACCCUGAUGCAGCGACGCCGCGUGAGCGAUGAAGUAUUUCGGUAUGUAAAGCUCUAUCAGCAGGGAAGAAAAUGACGGUACCUGACUAAGAAGCCCCGGCUAACUACGUGCCAGCAGCCGCGGUCAUACGUAGGGGGCAAGCGGUAUCCGGAUUUACUGGGUGGAAAGGGAGCGUAGACGGUCCUGCAAGCCAGAUGUGAAAGCCCGGGGCUCAACCCCGGGACUGCAUUUGGAACUGUAAGGCUAGAGUGUAGGAGAGGCAGGCGGAAUUCCUAGUGUAGCGGUGAAAUGCGUAGAUAUUAGGAGGAACACCAGUGGCGAAGGCGGCCUGCUGGACGAUGACUGACGUUGAGGCUCGAAAGCGUGGGGAGCAAACAGGAUUAGAUACCCGGGUAGUC